UCACAUGUGUGAUUGAUAGAUUAGAAAUUUAUGUUUAUUUUGACUAAAUUUAUGAUUAUUUUAAAUGAAUUUUAUCCGAUAAAUGGUUUAUCUUCAGCCACUUUAGCUAUUUCUCCGUAAUUAUGUAAUUAUGUUCUAAUACAAUUUAUCCCAAAAAAAAAGAAAAAUUUCACAACAAAAUAAAAAAACAUCCAUUUAACUUUUAUAACAAAGAUUUUUAACAAUAUAUAAUUAUCGAUGGACCAAAGAAGAGACACAUAAUUGUGUAUAUGAUACCUUGAUGCGUGCGUGUAAAAGCG
rnacentral:lncRNA from 1 species